rnacentral:rRNA from 1 species
GGGUUGUGAGGUUAAGCGACUAAGCGUACACGGUGGAUGCCCUGGCAGUCAGAGGCGAUGAAGGACGUGCUAAUCUGCGAUAAGCGUCGGUAAGGUGAUAUGAACCGUUAUAACCGGCGAUUUCCGAAUGGGGAAACCCAGUGUGUUUCGACACACUAUCAUUAACUGAAUCCAUAGGUUAAUGAGGCGAACCGGGGGAACUGAAACAUCUAAGUACCCCGAGGAAAAGAAAUCAACCGAGAUUCCCCCAGUAGCGGCGAGCGAACGGGGAGGAGCCCAGAGCCUGAAUCAGUGUGUGUGUUAGUGGAAGCGUCUGGAAAGGCGCGCGAUACAGGGUGACAGCCCCGUACACAAAAAUGCACAUGCUGUGAGCUCGAUGAGUAGGGCGGGACACGUGGUAUCCUGUCUGAAUAUGGGGGGACCAUCCUCCAAGGCUAAAUACUCCUGACUGACCGAUAGUGAACCAGUACCGUGAGGGAAAGGCGAAAAGAACCCCGGCGAGGGGAGUGAAAAAGAACCUGAAACCGUGUACGUACAAGCAGUGGGAGCACGCUUAGGCGUGUGACUGCGUACCUUUUGUAUAAUGGGUCAGCGACUUAUAUUCUGUAGCAAGGUUAACCGAAUAGGGGAGCCGAAGGGAAACCGAGUCUUAACUGGGCGUUAAGUUGCAGGGUAUAGACCCGAAACCCGGUGAUCUAGCCAUGGGCAGGUUGAAGGUUGGGUAACACUAACUGGAGGACCGAACCGACUAAUGUUGAAAAAUUAGCGGAUGACUUGUGGCUGGGGGUGAAAGGCCAAUCAAACCGGGAGAUAGCUGGUUCUCCCCGAAAGCUAUUUAGGUAGCGCCUCGUGAAUUCAUCUCCGGGGGUAGAGCACUGUUUCGGCAAGGGGGUCAUCCCGACUUACCAACCCGAUGCAAACUGCGAAUACCGGAGAAUGUUAUCACGGGAGACACACGGCGGGUGCUAACGUCCGUCGUGAAGAGGGAAACAACCCAGACCGCCAGCUAAGGUCCCAAAGUCAUGGUUAAGUGGGAAACGAUGUGGGAAGGCCCAGACAGCCAGGAUGUUGGCUUAGAAGCAGCCAUCAUUUAAAGAAAGCGUAAUAGCUCACUGGUCGAGUCGGCCUGCGCGGAAGAUGUAACGGGGCUAAACCAUGCACCGAAGCUGCGGCAGCGACACUGUGUGUUGUUGGGUAGGGGAGCGUUCUGUAAGCCUGUGAAGGUGUACUGUGAGGUAUGCUGGAGGUAUCAGAAGUGCGAAUGCUGACAUAAGUAACGAUAAAGCGGGUGAAAAGCCCGCUCGCCGGAAGACCAAGGGUUCCUGUCCAACGUUAAUCGGGGCAGGGUGAGUCGACCCCUAAGGCGAGGCCGAAAGGCGUAGUCGAUGGGAAACAGGUUAAUAUUCCUGUACUUGGUGUUACUGCGAAGGGGGGACGGAGAAGGCUAUGUUGGCCGGGCGACGGUUGUCCCGGUUUAAGCGUGUAGGCUGGUUUUCCAGGCAAAUCCGGAAAAUCAAGGCUGAGGCGUGAUGACGAGGCACUACGGUGCUGAAGCAACAAAUGCCCUGCUUCCAGGAAAAGCCUCUAAGCAUCAGGUAACAUCAAAUCGUACCCCAAACCGACACAGGUGGUCAGGUAGAGAAUACCAAGGCGCUUGAGAGAACUCGGGUGAAGGAACUAGGCAAAAUGGUGCCGUAACUUCGGGAGAAGGCACGCUGAUAUGUAGGUGAAGCGACUUGCUCGUGGAGCUGAAAUCAGUCGAAGAUACCAGCUGGCUGCAACUGUUUAUUAAAAACACAGCACUGUGCAAACACGAAAGUGGACGUAUACGGUGUGACGCCUGCCCGGUGCCGGAAGGUUAAUUGAUGGGGUUAGCGCAAGCGAAGCUCUUGAUCGAAGCCCCGGUAAACGGCGGCCGUAACUAUAACGGUCCUAAGGUAGCGAAAUUCCUUGUCGGGUAAGUUCCGACCUGCACGAAUGGCGUAAUGAUGGCCAGGCUGUCUCCACCCGAGACUCAGUGAAAUUGAACUCGCUGUGAAGAUGCAGUGUACCCGCGGCAAGACGGAAAGACCCCGUGAACCUUUACUAUAGCUUGACACUGAACAUUGAGCCUUGAUGUGUAGGAUAGGUGGGAGGCUUAGAAGUGUGGACGCCAGUCUGCAUGGAGCCGACCUUGAAAUACCACCCUUUAAUGUUUGAUGUUCUAACGUUGACCCGUAAUCCGGGUUGCGGACAGUGUCUGGUGGGUAGUUUGACUGGGGCGGUCUCCUCCUAAAGAGUAACGGAGGAGCACGAAGGUUGGCUAAUCCUGGUCGGACAUCAGGAGGUUAGUGCAAUGGCAUAAGCCAGCUUGACUGCGAGCGUGACGGCGCGAGCAGGUGCGAAAGCAGGUCAUAGUGAUCCGGUGGUUCUGAAUGGAAGGGCCAUCGCUCAACGGAUAAAAGGUACUCCGGGGAUAACAGGCUGAUACCGCCCAAGAGUUCAUAUCGACGGCGGUGUUUGGCACCUCGAUGUCGGCUCAUCACAUCCUGGGGCUGAAGUAGGUCCCAAGGGUAUGGCUGUUCGCCAUUUAAAGUGGUACGCGAGCUGGGUUUAGAACGUCGUGAGACAGUUCGGUCCCUAUCUGCCGUGGGCGCUGGAGAACUGAGGGGGGCUGCUCCUAGUACGAGAGGACCGGAGUGGACGCAUCACUGGUGUUCGGGUUGUCAUGCCAAUGGCACUGCCCGGUAGCUAAAUGCGGAAGAGAUAAGUGCUGAAAGCAUCUAAGCACGAAACUUGCCCCGAGAUGAGUUCUCCCUGACCCUUUAAGGGUCCUGAAGGAACGUUGAAGACGACGACGUUGAUAGGCCGGGUGUGUAAGCGCAGCGAUGCGUUGAGCUAACCGGUACUAAUGAACCGUGAGGCUUAACCUUACAACGCCGAAG